rnacentral:rRNA from 1 species
AUUGAACGCUGGCGGCAGGCCUAACACAUGCAAGUCGAGCGGAUGACGGGAGCUUGCUCCUUGAUUCAGCGGCGGACGGGUGAGUAAUGCCUAGGAAUCUGCCUGGUAGUGGGGGACACCGUUUCGAAAGGAACGCUAAUACCGCAUACGUCCUACGGGAGAAAGCAGGGGACCUUCGGGCCUUGCGCUAUCAGAUGAGCGUAGGUCGGAUUAGCUAGUUGGUGGGGUAAUGGCUCACCAAGGCGACGAUCCGUAACUGGUCUGAGAGGAUGAUCAGUCACACUGGAACUGAGACACGGUCCAGACUCCUACGGGAGGCAGCAGUGGGGAAUAUAGGACAAUGGGCGAAAGCCUGAUCCAGCCAUGCCGCGUGUGUGAAGAAGGUCUUCGGAUUGUAAAGCACUUUAAGUUGGGAGGAAGGGCAGUAAGCUAAUAUCUUGCUGUUUUGACGUUACCGACAGAAUGAGCACCGGCUAACUCUGUGCCAGCAGCCGCGGUAA